UUUNCCGGCAACAGAAAAAAUUUGAAAUUUGCCCUCGUGCCCGAGANUGUAAUUUGUAGAGGAUGCUUUUGGUGCGGUGCCUUCCCAGUUCCCUGGAACGGGACGCCAGAGAGGGUGAGAGCCCCGUACGGUUGGACACCAAGCCUCUGUAAAGCUCCUUCGACGAGUCGAGUAGUUUGGGAAUGCUGCUCUAAAUGGGAGGUAUAUCUCUUCUAAAGCUAAAUAUAGGCCAGAGACCGAUAGCGCACAAGUAGAGUGAUCGAAAGAUGAAAAGCACUUUGAAAAGAGGGUUAAAAAGUACGUGAAAUUGUUGAAAGGGAAGGGCUUGUGACCAGACUUGUGCCGGGCUGAUCAUCCGCGGUUCUUCCGCGGUGCACUCUGCCCGUGCCCAGGCCAGCGACGGUUCUGGAAGGGGGACAAAAGCUUGNGGAACGUGGCUCCUUCGGAAGUGUUAUAGCCCCUUGCCCAAUGCCCCUGCCGGAAACCGAGUAUUCGCGUUCUGCAUGGAACGCUGGCAUAAUGGUCACCAUCCCNCCCGUCUGUAACACGAACCCAUU
rnacentral:rRNA from 1 species